rnacentral:rRNA from 1 species
GUGCCAGCAGCCGCGGUAAGACGAACUGUGCAAACGUUAUUCGGAAUCACUGGGCUUGAAGAGUGCGUAGGCGGUUUUGUAAGUAGGGUGUGAAAGCCCCCGGCCCAACCGGGGAAUUGCGCCCUAAACUGCAAGGCUGGAGUGAGGUAGGGGUGUGUGGAACUUCUAGUGGAGCGGUGAAAUGUGUUGAUAUUAGAAGGAACGCCGGUGGCGAAAGCGACACACUGGACCUUGUCUGACGCUGAGGCACGAAAGCCAGGGGAGCAAACGGGAUUAGAUACCCCGGUAGUCC